AGCGAACGCUGGCGGCAGGCUUAACACAUGCAAGUCGAGCGGGCAUCCGUGUGGUUUCAGCGGCAGACGGGUGAGUAACGCGUGGGAACGUGCCCUUCGGUUCGUACUUACUCAGGGAAACUUGAGCUAAUACCGGAUACGUGCUAGAGCAGAAAGGUUUAUCUGCCGAGGGUCCGGCGCGCGCGGCAUGAGCUAGUUGGUGAGGAGAUGGCUCACCAAUGCAACGAUGAGUAGCUGACGUGAGAGGGUGAUCAGCCACACAGGAACGGAGACACGGGCCAGAAUCCUAGGGGAGGCAGCAGUAGGGAAUCUUCCGCAAUGGGCGAAAGCCUGACGGAGCAACGCCGCGUGAGUGAGGAAGGUCUUCGGAUCGUAAAACUCUGUUAUUAGGGAAGAACAUAUGUGUAAGUAACUGUGCACAUCUUGACGGUACCUAAUCAGAAAGCCACGGCUAACUACGUG
rnacentral:rRNA from 1 species